rnacentral:lncRNA from 1 species
CUCUAUGCAAAUAGAGAGGCUGACGUCACCCGUCACGUGGUUUCAGCGUCGCUGCCCCGCUGGGAGCCAGGGUUUUUUUUUUUUUUUUUGGUUUUUUUCCUGCCCCCUCCCCUGCGCCCCUCCCCCGCCUGCGGGCUCCUCCUCCUGCUCCUCCUCCUGCUCCUCCUGCUCCUGCUGCUCCUCCUGCUCCUGCCGCCGCCGGGGUGUUGUUGGGCUGCUCCCGGCUGGGCGGGAGCCCCGCUCCCCUGUGGGAUCCCCCCGUGCGGGGUGGGGGCGGGAGGACUGGCCGGGCCGGGGGCCCCGCAGCGCCCCGCCUGCAGAUGUGACAGGUGGCUGCUUCCAGGGUCCAAUGGUGAAGAGACCUCCAGGAUGUGAGGGGUACGUUCCUGGUAAGUAAAAUUGUGGGGAGCCCAGGUUGGGGGUUCAGGAACUGGGAAUAGAUGGCCUGAAGGGAAGUGGCUAUGGUGGAGACAACAUCUGCGCUGGCUGGCGGAGACAGCGUCUCUGCUAGCUAGGGGAACCCCAGCCCAUGGAGAACAGUUUGCAGCCCUGGUGUAGCUACAUCUCAGCAACCUUUUGCCUCUCCUGUGGAUUGGCACAGAGUGGAUCUGGAAGCAAUCCAGACCCAGCAGAGUUGGUAGUCAUGUUCCCUUCAAUCAUUCAUUCAUUCAGUCGCAUUUAUUGAGUGCUUACGGUGUGCAGAGUACUGUAUUAAGCUCUUGGGAGAGUACAGUAUAACUAUAAACAGACACAUUCCCGGCCCACAGGGAGCUUACAGUCUAGAGGGGGAGACAGGCCGUGAUAUGAGUGAUACAUAAUUCAUAGAUAUGCACUUCAGUGAGGUGGGGCUGAGGGUGGGGAAGUGCAUUUGCAGCUGAAAAUGAAUUUCAGUCAAUCAGUGGUACUUAUUGAGCUUUUA